rnacentral:rRNA from 1 species
UACAGAGGUCCCGAGCGUUGUUCGGAUUUACUGGGCGUAAAGGGUGUGUAGGCGGUCAAGCUAGUCCGACGUUAAAUAUCUGGGCUCAACCCAGAUACCGCAUUGGAUACUUCUUGGCUAGAGAGGCAUAGGGGGAACCGGAAUUCUCGGUGUAGCAGUGAAAUGCGUAGAUAUCGAGAGGAACGCCGUGGCGAAAAGCGGGUUCUGGAUGCCUUCUGACGGCUGAGGCACUAAAGCUGGGGGGAGCAAACGGG